rnacentral:rRNA from 1 species
CACGUAGGGUGCGAGCGUUGUCCGGAAUUAUUGGGCGUAAAGGGCGCGUAGGCGGCCUGGCAAGUGACGGGUGAAAGCCCUCGGCUCAACCGAGGAACUGCCUGUCAUACUGCCGGGCUUGAGUCCGGGAGAGGUGAGUGGAAUUCCCAGUGUAGCGGUGAAAUGCGUAGAUAUCGGGAGGAACACCAGUGGCGAAGGCGGCUCACUGGACCGGAACUGACGCUGAGGCGCGAAAGCGUGGGGAGCAAACAGG